rnacentral:rRNA from 1 species
GACGAACCGUGCGAACGUUGUUCGGAAUCACUGGGCAUAAAGGGCGCGUAGGCGGCUUAUCAAGUCAGGGGUGAAAUCCGGCAGCUCAACUGUCGAAGUGCCUUUGAUACUGAUGAGCUCGAGGGAGGUAGGGGUGUGCGGAACUUCCGGUGGAGCGGUGAAAUGCGUUGAUAUCGGAAGGAACGCCGGCGGCGAAAGCGGCGCACUGGACCUCUUCUGACGCUGAGGCGCGAAAGCUAGGGGAGCAAACGGG